GGGAAUCUUCGGCAAUGGACGAAAGUCUGACCGAGCAACGCCGCGUGAGUGAAGAAGGUUUUCGGAUCGUAAAACUCUGUUGUUAGAGAAGAACAAGGACGUUAGUAAAUGAACGUCCCCUGACGGUAUCUAACCAGAAAGCCACGGCCAACUACGUGCCAGCAGCCGCGGUAAUACGUAGGUGGCAAGCGUUGUCCGGAUUUAUUGGGCGUAAAGCGAGCGCAGGCGGUUUCUUAAGUCUGAUGUGAAAGCCCCCGGCUCAACCGGGGAGGGUCAUUGGAAACUGAGAGACUUGAGUGCAGAAGAGGAGAGUGGAAUUCCAUGUGUAGCGGUGAAAUGCGUAGAUAUAUGGAGGAACACCAGUGGCGAAGGCGGCUCACUGGACUGGUAUUGACGCUGAGGUGCGAGAGCGUGGGGAGCA
rnacentral:rRNA from 1 species